rnacentral:sRNA from 2 species
AAACUAUUUACGCUGAAUUUUUCGAAUGAAAAAGCGGGGGAACCAUCGCGAUCGAUCGAAAUCGAUUCGCAAGGGGUGAAUCCAGGGAUUUGUAACCCUGGUAGGGCUUUCUCUCUAGCCCGAAUCCGACAGCUAACCUCGUAAGCGAAUAAAGGAGAGAUG